rnacentral:rRNA from 1 species
CGCCAGACUCCUACGGGAGGCAGCAGUGGGGAAUUUUGCGCAAUGGGGGAAACCCUGACGCAGCAACGCCGCGUGCGGGAUGACGGCCUUCGGGUUGUAAACCGCUUUCAGUAGGGACGAAUUUUGACGGUACCUACAGAAGAAGCCCCGGCUAACUACGUGCCAGCAGCCGCGGUAAUACGUAGGGGGCGAGCGUUAUCCGGAUUCAUUGGGCGUAAAGCGCGCGUAGGCGGUCAUGUAAGCGGGACCUCUAAUCUUGGGGCUCAACCUCAAGCCGGGUUCCGAACUACAUGACUCGAGUGUGGUAGGGGAGAUCGGAAUUCCCGGUGUAGCGGUGGAAUGCGCAGAUAUCGGGAAGAACACCGAUGGCGAAGGCAGAUCUCUGGGCCAUAACUGACGCUGAGGCGCGAAAGCUAGGGGAGCAAACAGGAUUAGAUACCCGAGUA